rnacentral:lncRNA from 1 species
GAAAAAGGCUUUCGCCCACCUUUAUAUAUAAAGCAACAAUCGUCAUACAGGAUGCAAACCACUCGACAACACACACACACCCAAGGCAGAUACAAGGGAGCUGACGAACAGCAGCACUACUCCAAACGCCCCAAAGCAAACAAGUAGGCAGGAGAGCAUAGCUAAAGAUCUAAGGUCUCUCCACCGUGAACGAGUCACCGCGAGGAGACGAAGCCGCAACUCGACGAACCAGGGACUCCAAAGCGGUGCUUCCAGGAAAGAAACGACACUGGAGAGCUGCCAUAGCCCGAUCCAGUGAAUCGAGGUUUUCACCCGAAGUAACACAAAGAACGCAGGGCCACGGCGAUGGAGCCUUCAAGAAGGGAGCAACGCAUGGAGCAUAGCUAAAGAUCUAAGGGCUCUCCACCGUGAACGAGUCACUGCGAGGAGACGAAGCCGCAACUCGAUGAACCAGGGACUCCAAAGCGGUGCUUCCAGGAAAGAAACGACACCGAAGAGCUGCCACAGCCUGAUCCAGUGAAUCGAGGUUUUCACCUGGAGUAACACAAAGAACGCAGGGCCGCGGCGAUGGAGCCUUCAAGAAGGGAGAAACGCAUGGAGCAUAGCUAAAGAUCUAAGGGCUCUCCACCUUGAACGAGUCACCGCGAGGAGACGAAGCCGCAACUCGACGAACCAGGG